rnacentral:ncRNA from 1 species
UGCCGAUACUAGUAAACUUAUCGAAAGAUAAGGACACAAAGCUAUGGGCCUACGGGAGAACUCUCCUAUGGUUGCCAGGCUACCGAA